UACAGAGGUCCCAAGCGUUGUUCGGAUUCAUUGGGCGUAAAGGGUGCGUAGGUGGCGCCGUAAGUCGGGUGUGAAAUUUCGGAGCUUAACUCCGAAACUGCAUUCGAUACUGCGGUGCUUGAGGACUGGAGAGGAGACUGGAAUUCAUGGUGUAGCAGUGAAAUGCGUAGAGAUCAUGAGGAAGACCAGUGGCGAAGGCGGCAUCCUGGACUGGUCCUGACACUCAUGAGCGAAAGCGUGGGGAGCGAUCCGG
rnacentral:rRNA from 1 species